rnacentral:sRNA from 2 species
UAAGAUUGCUUCUAGGGUUCCGGUUCGAACGGUUUCGAAUGUCUGGUCCGAGAGAAGCCAGCUUGCCAUCGGGCGCGAUCGCCCCGGCAGGUUACACGGCGGGACAAAAGCCCGGGAGAG